AGGACACGCUGGCGGCGUGCUUAACACAUGCAAGUCGAGCGGAGGAGACAGAGGUAUAGCGAUAAACGGAAGACUCCUUAGCGGCGGACGGGUGAGUAACGCGUGGGUAACCUGCCCUUUACAGGGGGAUAACACCGUGAAAACGGUGCUAAUACCGCAUAAGACUCCGUAGCGGCAUCGCAGAGGAGUCAAAGGAGAAAUCCGGUAAAGGAUGGACCCGCGUCCGAUUAGAUAGUUGGUGAGGUAACGGCUCACCAAGUCAACGAUCGGUAGCCGGACUGAGAGGUUGGCCGGCCACAUUGGGACUGAGACACGGCCCAGACUCCUACGGGAGGCAGCAGUGGGGAAUAUUGCGCAAUGGGGGAAACCCUGACGCAGCGACGCCGCGUGAAGGAAGAAGGCCUUCGGGUUGUAAACUUCUUUGAUCAGGGACGAGUAAGGACGGUACCUGAAUAACAAGCCACGGCUAACUACGUG
rnacentral:rRNA from 1 species